CACGAAGUUAGCCGGAGCUUCUUCUGCGGGUACCGUCAUUAUCGUCCCCGCCGAAAGAGUUUUACAACCCUAGGGCCUUCAUCACUCACGCGGCAUGGCUGGAUCAGGGUUUCCCCCAUUGUCUAAGAUUCCCCA
rnacentral:rRNA from 1 species